GGGUCAGCGACUUAUAUUCUGUAGCAAGGUUAACCGCAUAGGGGAGCCGGAGGGAAACCGAGUCUUAAUUGGGCGUUAAGUUGCAGGGUAUAGACCCGAAACCCGGUGAUCUAGCCAUGGGCAGGUUGAAGGUUGGGUAACACUAACUGGAGGACCGAACCGACUAAUGUUGAAAAAUUAGCGGAUGACUUGUGGCUGGGGGUGAAAGGCCAAUCAAACCGGGAGAUAGCUGGUUCUCCCCGAAAGCUAUUUAGGUAGCGCCUCGUGAACUCAUCUUCGGGGGUAGAGCACUGUUUCGGCUAGGGGGUCAUCCCGACUUACCAACCCGAUGCAAACUGCGAAUACCGAAGAAUGUUAUCACGGGAGACACACGGCGGGUGCUAACGUCCGUCGUGAAGAGGGAAACAACCCAGACCGCCAGCUAAGGUCCCAAAGUCACAGUUAAGUGGGAAACGAUGUGGGAAGGCUCAGACAGCCAGGAUGUUGGCUUAGAAGCAGCCAUCAUUUAAAGAAAGCGUAAUAGCUCACUGGUCGAGUCGGCCUGCGCGGAAGAUGUAACGGGGCUAAACUGUGCACCGAAGCUGCGGCAGCGACGCUUAUGCGUUGUUGGGUAGGGGAGCGUUCUGUAAGCCUGCGAAGGUGUCCUGUGAGGGAUGCUGGAGGUAUCAGAAGUGCGAAUGCUGACAUAAGUAACGAUAAUGCGGGUGAAAAGCCCGCUCGCCGGAAGACCAAGGGUUCCUGUCCAACGUUAAUCGGGGCAGGGUGAGUCGACCCCUAAGGCGAGGCCGAAAGGCGUAGUCGAUGGGAAACGGGUUAAUAUUCCCGUACUUGGUGUUACUGCGAAGGGGGGACGGAGAAGGCUAUGUUGGCCGGGCGACGGUUGUCCCGGUUUAAGCGUGUAGGCUGGUUUUCCAGGCAAAUCCGGAAAAUCAAGGCUGAGGCGUGAUGACGAGGCACUACGGUGCUGAAGCAACAAAUGCCCUGCUUCCAGGAAAAGCCUCUAAGCAUCAGGUAACAUCAAAUCGUACCCCAAACCGACACAGGUGGUCAGGUAGAGAAUACCAAGGCGCUUGAGAGAACUCGGGUGAAGGAACUAGGCAAAAUGGUGCCGUAACUUCGGGAGAAGGCACGCUGACACGUAGGUGAAGUGAUUUACUCA
rnacentral:rRNA from 1 species